AUUACUUUGGCAGAUUAGUGUAAUAAAUUUAGAAUUUAUAAAUAUUAUAAUUUAUAAUAAGUAAUA
rnacentral:tRNA from 1 species